CCCCCAUUACAACUUCCGUUUUUCGGUAGGGACGAUUGUAGUUCUGUGAAUUUUAGGGUAUAAAGUCUUUUUUUGCUCCCAGGCGUCCAUUUUUGGUGCACAGGUGCAUGCUUGGUAUUAAAAUGCUGGAAACUGUCUAAACUUUGAGGAGGUAUGAGCUUUAUUGAUGAAAGUUUGAAAUUCUGGGCGAGAGGACACAAGGUGUGAGGUAGUGAUGAGGCUGCGAGUGACGUCCCCUUGGCGUUGCUAGGCACGCCUCCCAGCUGCCGGCAUGGAAAGGUCCAGAUUUUGACGGUCAACCUAUGUCAAGAUUUUUAUGGCUUCUUUCUCACAGGCUGGGCCAGGUAUGCACCAAAGCUUAAUGGCCACGGAAUGUUUGGGACUGAGCUACAGCGCUAGACGUUAACAUUGUCGCUUAUGGAAAAUUAAUGGGGGUCCGAGGCCUGUACUGACGAAGUCACCAAAAUGUGAAAAAUGUCACUAUGCGCUUAGAUUUCGCAGCAGCCUGAUAAUUUUUGGUGAAAUACUGGCGCCGACAGCUUGGAGUUUGGCAGCCGUGGACUUGUCCUGGCCAUUGUUAAGUCUGUGGAUUGUGGACGCCGCCCUUCCCUCCAUAUUUCUGCUGUAGUUUACAUUCUUGGGCAAGGAGACGCUGAGUGAUCUGUUGACAGCUUCGCACUUUUGAGUGCUGGUGUUCAUCCGGAGACUGGUGACGGCUGUCUCGCUCAACCUCAUGUGCAGUACUUCGGUCAAUAGUUUCCUGUCGUUGUCAUCCAUGUUAAAAGGGCAGAGUUUACUGGUGGAUAAAAACAGGGACCUCUCCCACCAGCUGCUGGUUUCCCCUCCGGAGCAAACCACACUGUUCCUGCGGCAUUUGGAACAGUCCCCACCGUAACACCUGACCGUUGCAUCCACAACCCUGGAUGCCAAUGUGACACCCUUUGAUGUUACUGUGCAGAGUAAUAACCUGCUGUGAGACAACAGCAAUGGUGCAGGGAGGUUUUUGCAUGAUAAACAUCUUGUCUUUCCAAAACAGUUGACCUGAUGGAGAUAUCUCGAACGGUAUAUGCACUGCAAGGCUUCAAAGUUUACCCCUCAGAGUUUUUUCACCCUGGAAAAAAGACACAUGUUCAAGAUGGGGGUACCCCAACUUGAAUUCAUUCAACUCCAAAGUUUCUGCAUGUAUCAAGCCCUAAUUUUGCCUGUGAGGUUCAGAAGUGUCAGGAAUUGUGUGGUGCAAAAAUUAUUGAUUUUGAAAAAAGGUGGCUGGUGUGAUAGGACACAGACCCCCAUUACAACUUCCGUUUUUCGGUAGGGACGAUUGUAGUUCUGUGAAUUUUAGGGUAUAAAGUCUUUUUUUGCU